UACGUAGGGGGCUAGCGUUGUCCGGAUUUAUUGGGCGUAAAGAGCGUGUAGGCGGCCAUGUAGGUCCGGUGUGAAAACUCGAGGCUUAACCUCGAGAUGUCAUCGGAAACCAUUUGGCUAGAGUCCGGAAGAGGAGAGUGGAAUUCCUGGUGUAGCGGUGAAAUGCGCAGAUAUCAGGAGGAACACCGGUGGCGAAGGCGGUUCUCUGGGCCUUACCUGACGCUGAGGAGCGAAAGCGUGGGGAGCGAACAGG
rnacentral:rRNA from 1 species